rnacentral:lncRNA from 1 species
UGGUGGCUUGUUUUGUGGGGUGCCAGAAUGAGUGAGGUUUCUCCUUCCUCCUGCCUCUGCAGGGUUUGUUCAUGUUCCAAUUCCAACCCGAAAAAUCCUUCCAUUACAAAGGGCUAAAGCUCAGCCAGUAUUAUCAAGGCGCCCACAAAGAGAGAACAUGAACCAGCUCAUCUAUGGGAAGGAAAAUGAGAUGGUUUAUGUCUUCAUCCGCAUUAACAGUGCAGGGACAGUCCUGCCCUGCUCCUCUGAACAGCUGGGGACAAAGACGUGGAUGGAUCAAGUUUACAAAUGGACCAAGGACACUGGGCAGGAAAUUCAAGAUUCCAAAUAUUGCUCCAUACUGGAGAAUGGAUCCCUAGCCUUCAAGGACUUCGGCUCAGCGCAGUCUGGAAUCUACAAAUGCAAUGUCUCCUAUUCCAAAGAGGGCAAGCGCUACACAAAGAACUUCCAUUUCUUUGUCAGGGGUAUGGUAUGUAGGAAAGCUGCCCAAGGUGCAGAGAGUUGUGGGAGAGGGAUUGGCUGCUUUGUGAAGAACAAAUCAAGAUGCCAGAGAUAAAUGGUUGCCAUGACCAAAGGGGGGAGCAUGAUCUCCUAUAUUGGAGAGACCCAGGGAGUCUGGGUAUUGAUGCAGGUUAGGGUGUUGAGGAAAGUGCCAGUGGGAAUAACUGUGGGUCACUAAGGGUAUGUCUACACUGAGAUUAAGAAAACCCAUGGCACAGCCCCAUAGCUAAGGGGGAGCAUGAGCAGGCACUGACCCCCCUGUACAUUUGUUUGUCCUUGUAAAUAAGAUGUUCCAGUUUUUUCUUCCCCAGUUUCUUAUUCUGAGUUUCCUCAGAUGAGUGAUUGUAGUCCUAAAGCCACAAAGUAGUAGUUACAAUUCUAGUAGCCCUUGGGGGUGGGGUGUGUUAGUGACCCUGUUUCAGCUAAAUUAAGUGUGGUGACUGCAUUACGUUGGUGCCAUAAUAAAAGAUGUGCAAAGAAGUCUCUGCA